rnacentral:rRNA from 1 species
UCGCCCCUACGGGGAGCAGCAGUAGGGAAUCUUCCACAAUGGGCGAAAGCCUGAUGGAGCAACGCCGCGUGGGUGAAGAAGGUCUUCGGAUCGUAAAACCCUGUUGUUAGAGAAGAAAGUGCGUGAGAGUAACUGUUCACGUUUCGACGGUAUCUAACCAGAAAGCCACGGCUAACUACGUGCCAGCAGCCGCGGUAGUACGUAGGUGGCAAGCGUUAUCCGGAUUUAUUGGGCGUAAAGGGUGCGUAGGCGGCCUGCUAAGUCUGGAGUGAAAGGUACCGGCUCAACCGGUACAGGCUCUGGAA